GGAGGAAAAGAAACCAACAGGGAUUGCCUUAGUAGCGGCGAGUGAAGCGGCAAAAGCUCAAAUUUGAAAUCUGGCUCUUUCAGAGUCCGAGUUGUAAUUUGAAGAAGGUAUCUUUGGGUCUGGCUCUUGUCUAUGUUUCUUGGAACAGAACGUCACAGAGGGUGAGAAUCCCGUGCGAUGAGAUGAUCCAGGCCUAUGUAAAGUUCCUUCGAAGAGUCGAGUUGUUUGGGAAUGCAGCUCUAAGUGGGUGGUAAAUUCCAUCUAAAGCUAAAUAUUGGCGAGAGACCGAUAGCGAACAAGUACAGUGAUGGAAAGAUGAAAAGAACUUUGAAAAGAGAGUGAAAAAGUACGUGAAAUUGUUGAAAGGGAAGGGCUUGAGAUCAGACUUGGUAUUUUGUAUGUUACUUCUUCGGGGGUGGCCUCUACAGUUUAUCGGGCCAGCAUCAGUUUGGGCGGUAGGAGAAUUGCGUUGGAAUGUGGCACGGCUUCGGUUGUGUGUUAUAGCCUUCGUCGAUACUGCCAGCCUAGACUGAGGACUGC
rnacentral:rRNA from 1 species